rnacentral:rRNA from 1 species
ACACAUGCAAGUCGAGGGGCAGCAUGGUCUUAGCUUGCUAAGGCCGAUGGCGACCGGCGCACGGGUGAGUAACACGUAUCCAACCUGCCGUCUACUCUUGGACAGCCUUCUGAAAGGAAGAUUAAUACAAGAUGGCAUCAUGAGUCCGCAUGUUCACAUGAUUAAAGGUAUUCCGGUAGACGAUGGGGAUGCGUUCCAUUAGAUAGUAGGCGGGGUAACGGCCCACCUAGUCUUCGAUGGAUAGGGGUUCUGAGAGGAAGGUCCCCCACAUUGGAACUGAGACACGGUCCAAACUCCUACGGGAGGCAGCAGUGAGGAAUAUUGGUCAAUGGGCGAGAGCCUGAACCAGCCAAGUAGCGUGAAGGAUGACUGCCCUAUGGGUUGUAAACUUCUUUUAUAAAGGAAUAAAGUCGGGUAUGCAUACCCGUUUGCAUGUACUUUAUGAAUAAGGAUCGGCUAACUCCGUGCCAGCAGCCGCGGUAAUACGGAGGAUCCGAGCGUUAUCCGGAUUUAUUGGGUUUAAAGGGAGCGUAGAUGGAUGUUUAAGUCAGUUGUGAAAGUUUGCGGCUCAACCGUAAAAUUGCAGUUGAUACUGGAUAUCUUGAGUGCAGUUGAGGCAGGCGGAAUUCGUGGUGUAGCGGUGAAAUGCUUAGAUAUCACGAAGAACUCCGAUUGCGAAGGCAGCCUGCUAAGCUGCAACUGACAUUGAGGCUCGAAAGUGUGGGUAUCAAACAGG